UCAUUCUUAGCGAUUUGUUUACAUGUUGUAGCUGGGCUCCACGUCACAGCCUUGCACGGAUAUUUAAAGUAGGGAGGUUUAAAAAUCCCCUACUGGCAACACUCCUCAGUUCCCCGAUCCAUACCGUGUAUCCCGAUAUUCAUUCUGUGCUUCCGUGCUCAUAGCCUUCGCACGUCACACGAUUUUAUUUUAAAAACUGUUAGCUGGUUGUUAUCAACCAUGUCGAAACGAAAAAUGUGUGAAGAAAAUGACGACAUCAGGAGGAAGAUUAAAUUACUGGAAUUACAAUUACUACGAAAUUCCAAGCGACAAAGAAUCAUGAUUCAUUCUGAUCACGAAAAUGAAGAUUGUCCCACAACUUGAACAAGACGCUUACAUUGGUUGCCGUGAAAUUGUCCGGAAAUCGUUAUCACAGAAAUUAUUGAACGAUACGUCCAUAGAAAUUAUAAUGUCAUCCCUUUCAGAAAAUACUUACAAGCAAUAUGACAGUUGUUUAAAGAGUUGGUUAAUUUACUCUAAUAAUCAUUGUAUAUAUUAUUUGAAGCCGUCUGUUACCGAUGUUAUAAAUUUUUUAGCAUUUAUUUAUGAAAAUGGUGCUCAAUAUGGUACAAUAAAUUCGCAUAAGUCUGCGAUUUCUUUGUUGUUAGGUCCGGCAUAUCUAGAAGACGAGCGAAUUAAAAGAUUCAUGAAAGGUGUAUUUCGUCUAAGACCGACUGCCCCUAAAUAUGAUUUAACUUGGGACCCUGGUAUUGUUCUUCGUUAUUUAUCAAAUAAAGGGCCGAAUGAUUCACUUGAUUUAGAAAAUUUAUCAAAAAAGUUGUCAACAUUAUUGGCACUUGUAACCGCACAUAGAGUGCAAACUUUGACCUUGAUUAAAUUAAAUAAUGUUAGUAUUAUAGAUAAUACAGAGGUCUUAAUUAGGAUACCAGAUCUAAUAAAAACAUCCCGCUUAAAUUCAACACAACCAUUUUUUGAUCAAAAUCCAAAUAUAUGUCCAGCGAGAUGUUUGAUUUCUUACAUUAACAAAACCAGGUCUCUGCGGUCAGGUGAUCAUGACAAUUUAUUCAUUAGUUACAGAAGACCUCACUCGAAAUUAUCAUCCCAGCGACUAAGCCAUUGGAUUAAG